rnacentral:rRNA from 1 species
AGCGAACGCUGGCGGCAGGCCUAACACAUGCAAGUCGAACGAACUCUUCGGAGUUAGUGGCGGACGGGUGAGUAACACGUGGGAACGUGCCCUUUGGUACGGAAUAACUCAGGGAAACUUGAGCUAAUACCGUAUGUGCCCUUCUGGGGAAAGAUUUAUCGCCAUUGGAGCGGCCCGCGUCUGAUUAGCUAGUUGGUGAGGUAAAGGCUCACCAAGGCUACGAUCAGUAGCUGGUCUGAGAGGAUGAUCAGCCACAUUGGGACUGAGACACGGCCGAAACUCCUACGGGAGGCAGCAGUGGGGAAUCGUGCGCAAUGGGCGGAAGCCUGACGCAGCCAUGCCGGGUGAAUGAUGAAGGUCUUAGGAUUGUAAAAUUCUUUCACCGGGGACGAUAAUGACGGUACCCAGAGAAGAAGCCCCGGCUAACUUCGUG